AGGGAAUCUUCCACAAUGGACGCAAGUCUGAUGGAGCAACGCCGCGUGAGUGAAGAAGGUUUUCGGACCGUAAAGCUCUGUUGUUGGUGAAGAAGGAUAGAGGUAGUAACUGGCCUUUAUUUGACGGUAAUCAACCAGAAAGUCACGGCUAACUACGUGCCAGCAGCCGCGGUAAUCGUAGGUGGCAAGCGUUGUCCGGAUUUAUUGGGCGUAAAGCGAGCGCAGGCGGAAGAAUAAGUCUGAUGUGAAAGCCCUCGGCUUAACCGAGGAAUUGCAUCGGAAACUGUUUUCUUGAGUGCAGAAGAGGAGAGUAGAACUCCAUGUGUAGCGGUGGAAUGCGUAGAUAUAUGGAAGAAUACCAGUGGCGAAGGCGGCUCUCUGGUCUGCAACUGACGCUGAGGCUCGAAAGCAUGGGUAGCGAACAGGAUUAGAUACCCUGGUAGUCCAUGCCGUAAACGAUGAGUGCUAAGUGUUGGGAGGCUUCCGCCUCUCAGUGCUGCAGCUAACGCAUUAAGCACUCCGCCUGGGGAGUACGACCGCAAGGUUG
rnacentral:rRNA from 1 species